rnacentral:rRNA from 1 species
UUAAAAUAUUACAAUGUGCAAAUAUUUAUGUAAUCAUAAGCAUAAAAAAGGUAAGUAAUAGUGAUUGAGCACCUAUAGAAUUGUGUCUGAAAAGAAUAAAAUAAUAAAAAUUUUAGUAUAGGUUUAAACUAGUACCUUUUGGAUCAUGGGUUAGCAAGAAAUAAAAGUAUUUUUUCUCCCGAAAAGAGCUGAUCUAUUUUAGUGUAGUUAAGAACUUACUCGUACUUGUGGAAAAACGUAGGGAAAACACUAAGAUAGAAAUGAAACAUUAAACGAAGCUUUUAAUAGCUGGUUUUUAAGGAAAAGUAUUUUAGUGCUGUUUAUUUUUAUAUUAACUUAUAUAAAGAAAUCUUAAAAAUAAGUGAACUAAGAAGGGGAUAAGCUCUUUUUGGUCAGUUUUACCUAAAAUAAGAACAUAAUUUUAAAGUAGGCCUAAAAUUAGCCUAAUUAACAACUUUGUUACUAAAUAAUAAAUUGUCUUUGUCAAAAUUAUAUUUAUAGGGUGAAAAAUAUACUUAAAAAUCUUAUAAAACUUUUAUGUUUAAUAAUUAUUAUGCUAAUAUGAGUAUUAAAGAAUGUAAUAAAUCUAGGCUUACAUCAGUAAUCUGUAGAAAAAGAACUCGGCAAAUCAACUAUUUCAACUGUUUAAUAAAAACAUAGUCUUUUGAAUUUAUAAAAGGUGAUACCUGCCCGGUGAGUCAAUCUUUAACGGCCGCAGUAUUUUGACUGUGCAAAGGUAGCAUAAUAAUUUGUCCUAUAAUUGAAGACUGGAAUGAAUGGUUUUAUGAAAAUAAAGCUGUCUCUUCUACACAAGGAAAAAAUUAUUUUAAAAGUUAAAAAACUUUUAUUAAAAAGAGGGACGAGAAGACCCUAUUAAGCUUUAGUAAAUUAUCUUNAUUAUAGCUUUCUAUUUGAUAGAUUUAGAGUAAGAAUAAUUACUUUGAUUGGGGUGAUCAAGGAAUAAAAAAACUUCCUUUAUUUAAAGUCAGGAUACUAUAAUGACCCAGUAUUUUUGUUUGUUAAACUAAGUUACUAUAGGGAUAACAGCGUAAUUUCUUUUAAAAGUUCUCAUUAAAAAAGAAGUUUGCGACCUCGAUGUUGGACUAAGAAAACUUUUAGGUGCAGCAGCUUAAAAAGUAAGUCUGUUCGACUUUUAAUUUCUUACAUGAUCUGAGUUUAAACCGGUGAAAGCCAGGUUGGCUUCUAUCUUCUUAGAAUUUAGUUUUAGUACGAAAGGAUUAAACUAUAUUAAAAAUUUUACUUUUUCGAAUGAAAAAUAAUGUAAUGCUAUAUUAAGUUUAUUGGAAUAAUAAAGUUGUCA